rnacentral:rRNA from 1 species
GUGCCAGCCGCCGCGGUAAAACGUAGGAGACAAGCGUUAUCCGAAUUUACUGGGCGUAAAGCGCGUGCAGGUGGUUCGGUAAGUUGCCUGUGAAAUCUUCUGGCUCAACUGGGAGAGGCCGGGCAAGACUGCCGGACUAGAGGGCGGUAGAGGGAGGUGGAAUUCCCGGUGUAGUGGUGAAAUGCGUAGAUAUCGGGAGGAACACCUGUGGCGAAAGCGGCCUCCUGGACCGCACCUGACGCUCAGACGCGAAAGCUAGGGGAGUGAACGGGAUUAGAUACCCUCGUAGUCC